CUAGAAGUGUAAAUGUCUGUGUCUGUUGGUGAGACAGAGGACGUGGGCGCCCGCCGAAGAGAAGGCGCCUAGGCGCUGUCCGUAGUGCUGAAAUGGUGCGUGGUGAGACCUGUCUCCCCAACACAAGCUAGAAGACAACAAAAUAGCAGCCAGGAAACGCUCUGAUAAAGCUCUAGAUAGCUGCCAGGUGAUGCCAGAGAUUACUAGUUUUGGGACCAAUUAAAGUAGCAAGAUGCAGCCAGGAGUGGUGGCUUAUGCCUGUAAUCCCAGCACUUUGGGAGGCCGAGGUAGGAGGAUCACCUGAGGCCGAGCUCAAGGGAGCAGAACUAAGUUACAUGAUUCUGCUGCGGAUGUAUAAGCACCACUCCAAUAAUUUAUUAUCACGGUUGGAGACUUUGACUUGUCACUUUAUGACUUGAAAUAUGGCUCCAUGGUAAAUGCCCAUAAAGCUGAUUUUUAAAAUCUGGAUAUUACAGUUCUAAUUCUCACUUAGUUUAAAAGGUAGAAUAGGCUUCUUGUUUCAUAGAUCAUUUGUGUGAAUGUUGAUUUGUUAUGUCAUUGACAUCAUACACACAUGCUUACAUUUUGAAGGUUGCUAGCGUUUCCCAUUAAUGCUUCUGAAUUGAUGCCAAAGGAAAGCAUUGAUUAUAAAUUAGGUUCCUUGGUAUUAGUUGGUGCAUGACCCUGACCCUUUUCAAGCUAUAUGAAAGGUAAUGAUGCUCUCAAAAGCCUGCAAAAUGGCUUAUUCAGGAAAGCAUAAUGGAUUAAAAAUCCAUUAGGUUCCACUUUCUUUGCUAGAUGCUGAGAUACAAAGAUAAAUGAGAUUUGGUCUCUGCCCUCGAGGAGAUACGUGGCAAAAUAAUAUGGUAAGUUCUACAAAGUUCUAUACAAACACAGAUUAAUAUGCUAUUCAUGUUUUAUUAGCCAUUGCCAAAGAAGGGAUGAAGAACUGCAAAAAGAUAAAACACAGAAUACUUGUACUUCAGGUCCUUGCCAAUAUCUACUGCCCAACUUUUACAAAAAAAAUUGCUGAAAGGCAUGAAAUAUAUGAAUGCCUUUCUAAAGCACAUGUGGAUAAUCUAUACUUCUGGAGCAUCUAUGAUUUAUUUUCAGAACAAUCCAAGUUAUUAGAAAGGUAAAUAUGUUGGUGACAUUGUUUAGAAGUUCCUCAAGCAGAAUUGCCUUUACUAUGCUUUGACAUUAUGCUCUCAGCUUAUAUACAGUAAUUCUAUGUGAAACAGUAGCCAGCUUACACAACCUGCUCUAUAUCUACUACAGAGCUGUUACUAAAGUGUUGGUCAACAUAUAACUUACUAUUUCUUAUAUAAAGAUGCCCAAGAAAUUUAGAUUUCAUAGAUAUAUCCCCAAAAGCAUUUCUUUCAAUACCAGUUUAAUGAAUUGAACUUUCAUACCUCACUUAAAUCAACCCAGGGUAAAGUGGUAUGUUCUGUUCUUACACACAAUGAAAAUCAUGUAACUAAUUAAAGUUAGCAUUUAUUUUAGCUACUAGGGAUGCCAGAGUCAAAUUAACAGCUGAAAAUGAAUAACUACAUAAGACCUUAAGCCUUUUAUAUCUUUUCUUUUUUUUUAAUCACCUUAACUACUGCAAUUUUGGUUUCUUAGGUAAUGAUAAUAUUAUUUUCUUUUAAUUAUUUGUUUUAAUGUGUGACCUCAUGUAAAUGUCCUCAUAAAAUCAGAAGUGGA
rnacentral:lncRNA from 1 species